ensembl:lncRNA
CUCUUUUAACAGAGGACCAGGAGUGUGGUGUCGUAUUCCAUCAUUUUCCUAGAGCAUACUGCUUUGGUUUUGGGGAUACAGUGUUUUCAAAUGUGAAGGAUUGAAGAUACCACCCUCGGUUUGUAUGUUAAUUUCAGCUUUUAGAGUUCCUGAAAUCUAAUCCUGUGAACAACCUUGAACCUUGCCUCAACCUCUCUGAACUCUCAUCACACAUGGUAAAUGAGGGAGUAGGUCUAUGUGACUCUCCUGAUCCCUUCCAGCUUCAAAGGUUUGUAAUUCCAUGAUAUUUUUUAUUUGAAGUUGGGGUACCUUAGAAGACAAAGUCACCUCAAAUGUAUUCUAGGCAUAAAGUAAGAAUUUCUAGAACCACAAAUGUGUUCCAGUUGAAGUUUCUCUAAAUGUUGACAGAUGUGGAGAGAGCAUUAUCGAAGGCUUAAUUUUACAUUUGCAUUCAGAUCUGCUGUUUCAAUG